rnacentral:rRNA from 1 species
UGCAGCGGAGAGACAACAGGGAUUGCCCUAGUAACGGCGAGUGAAGCGGCAACAGCUCAAAUUUGAAAUCUGGCCCUCGGGUCCGAAUUGUAAUUUGUAGAGGAUGCUUUUGGUUAGGUACCUUCCGAGUGCCCUGGAACGGGACGCCUUAGAGGGUGAGAGCCCCGUACGGUUGGAUACCGAGCCUGUGUAAAGCUCCUUCGACGAGUCGAGUAGUUUGGGAAUGCUGCUCUAAAUGGGAGGUAAAUUUCUUCUAAAGCUAAAUAUUGGCCAGAGACCGAUAGCGCACAAGUAGAGUGAUCGAAAGAUGAAAAGUACUUUGAAAAGAGGGUUAAACAGCACGUGAAAUUGUUGAAAGGGAAGCGUUUAUGACCAGACUUUUUCCAGGCGGAUCAUUUUGUGUUUUCAACGGUAGCACUUUGCCUGGUUUAGGCCAGCAUAGGUUUCUGUAGGGGGAUAAAAUCAGUGGGAAUGUGGAUCCUUCGGGAGUGUUAUAGCCGAGCGAAUAAUAGAUUUAUGGUGGGGCGUGCGUCGCGCUCAGCAAGGAUGCUGGUGUAAUGGUCAUCAACGACCCGUCUUGAAACACGGACCAAGGAGUAGAACAUUUGUGCGAGUGUGAGGGUGUUAAAACCUCACGCGUAAUGAAAGUGAACGGAGGUGAGAGCCGGUACGGGUGCAUCAUCGACCGAUCCAGAAGUUUUCGGAUGGAUUUGAGUAAGAGCAUAGGUGUUCGGACCCCAAAGAUGGUGCACUAUGCGAGGAUAGGGUGAACCCAGAGGAAACUCUGGUGGAUGCUCGCAGCGGUUCUGACGUGCAAAUCGAUCAUCAACUCUGCGCAUGGGGGCGAAAGGAUAAUCGAACCAUUGAAACCAGCGCAAAAUGCAACGUAGUAGGCGGCUAAGAGGCGGCCCGAGAGGGAAAUAUUAACAUAGGUUGGCGCAUCAUCACCUGGAGGUACCCUAUAGCCCCCCUAUAGCGAGUUACCCUGUAACUACCCAUAGCUACCCUAUAGCGAGCUACCCUGGAGCUACCCUAUACCGACACCACUCAACUGCGGGGACAUCCUUUAGAAGGUUCUAGGCUACCGCGGCGCGCUGAAAAGCGUGUCCGCACCAAGAUUAGCGGUCUUGGGUAUGGUAAUAACGCCUGGGAGCUGGGACGACCCGCAGCCAACCCCGUAUCUUCAGGGGAGAGUUCACUGACUAAACAGUGGUGGGUCAGCUGCUGCUGGCUUAAGAUAUAGUCGACCGGGGCCCUGAAAAGGAGUCCGCACACGAAAUACAGCGAGCUUAUGGGUGAUU